rnacentral:tRNA from 1 species
UCCCUGGUGGUCUAGUGCUUAGGACUUGGCACUCUCACACCUGUGGCCCAGGUUCAGUCCCUGGUCAGGGAA